UGGGGAAUAUUGCACAAUGGGCGCAAGCCUGAUGCAGCCAUGCCGCGUGUGUGAAGAAGGCCUUCGGGUUGUAAAGCACUUUCAGCGAGGAGGAAGGUGGUGAGCUUAAUACGCUCAUCAAUUGACGUUACUCGCAGAAGAAGCACCGGCUAACUCCGUGCCAGCAGCCGCGGUAAUACGGAGGGUGCAAGCGUUAAUCGGAAUUACUGGGCGUAAAGCGCACGCAGGCGGUUUGUUAAGUCAGAUGUGAAAUCCCCGGGCUCAACCUGGGAACUGCAUUUGAAACUGGCAAGCUAGAGUCUCGUAGAGGGGGGUAGAAUUCCAGGUGUAGCGGUGAAAUGCGUAGAGAUCUGGAGGAAUACCGGUGGCGAAGGCGGCCCCCCUGGACGAAGACUGACGCUCAGGUGCGAAAGCGUGGGGCAGCAAACAGGAUUAGAUACCCUGGUAGUCCACGCUGUAAACGAUGUCGAUUUGGAGGUUGUG
rnacentral:rRNA from 1 species